GCGUUUGACGAGCCUGUUCGAGAUAUCGAGACUUUGGUUAACCGAUCUUGCGCACGCGCGGAUCACGCGCAAAACUCGCUUCGAGAUCGAGUUACAGUAUUUAUUCGUCAUAAGCUCCCAGCUAGGAACCAGCUAUGAGUAUACUAUAGCUACUUAUUAGGAAUAAGAAAUUCUAACCAACAAACGAGGAUCGUAGAGAAGGCAGUUACCGAAGGACGAGGAAGCAUUGAGAAUUAAGUAUUUAUUAAAAAAUUUAUGACGCAUACUUUCGAUAUGAAGUUAGUCGUUUCGUUAAAUACAAGAGAGAGAUUCGUUCCUAUUGGUGAAAAUGAUUCUCGACCAUUCGUGAGAAGAUUUCGAGCAACGAAUGUAUGUUUUACAUGAUUUCUACAUCCUCCUACACGAUGAUGGCCUUAAUGAAUUUCGCGUCUAACGAUGACUCGCACGUCUCUUCUCUUUUCUCGAUCACAACGUAGCAGAUUUUUGCACGAACAUUCUAAAUUAAUCAUUAAUUUUAGUUUUCUUGCUUUUAUUUUUCUAGCUUUUUAGACGGGUAAUGAUCUUUACGUAAUUGGCAUUGCUUUUCGAAUUUUUCGUUUGAGAAGAAAAAAAUGUUUUCAAAUGUUAGAAAUGUAAGAUGUACUUUGUUUAUCAAGAGUUUUAGAACACUUGCAGCACCUAAAUUCAUGCUGCAAUUAUUUCGAUCAAUUUACUAAUAAAUGUUAAUGGAAUCUGGAUAAAAGGAUAGGUAAUCAAACUUUUAAAAAAGACGAGAAUAUAUUAAUUAUAUUAGAUAUUGAUUGGUCAAUAUCGAUUAGAUUAAGUUUGUUGUAAAGAUACGAUUCAUAAAUUAAAGCGAAAAAUAAAA